UCACGCAUACUUCCCUCUCGGUCUCCCACCACUCUGACCAUCUCUCGGGAUCUGAGUUUGUUUUUUUUCAUCCUUUCCCUGUCUCUUCAAGAGCUUCCCUGGUGGCUCAGCUGGUAAAGAAUCCCCCUGCAAUUUGGGCGACCUGGGUUCGAUCCCUGGUUUGGGAAGAUGCCCUGGAGAUGGAAAAGGCUCCCCACUCCAGUAUUCUGGCCUGGAGAAUCCCCUGGACUGUAGAGUCCAUGCGGUCGCAAGGAGUCGGACAUGACUGAGCGACUUUCACUUCACGCGCUGCCUCUUCAAGCUCUGGCCAUUCAGACUUGUUAGGAACAGGAAGGGCCAGAGGAAAAAGCAACGGCUGCCGUUUGCCACAGGGUCGGGAAAGAGCACGUCCUCCAGCCCUGCUGACGGGAAGAGGAAGGAAGUGUGUCCAACAGGCCCCUCGGGGCAGAGGUAAAGGGCGCCGGCCCAGCCUCCCUGGCACCCUGUUGGUCUCUGAAUGGCCCUGUGUCCCUGUGGUAUCAAGACAGCUGGCCCUCUGGGCACGCGGCGGGGAAGAAGACUCAGCCAAGGAAGCAAACGGCAGCUGGUGCGACGUUGGCUCCAAGUUGGGAGCAGAGACCUGGAGUCAGCAAAAUGCCACAAAUUCUGGACACCCUUGCCGCACACAGAGGUCAAGCGCCUGAAGCAGCUUAACGGUUCACACGGGCUGUGGUGCUUUAUUAUGGCAGCCUAACCCUGAAUAUUCAUUGGAAGGACUGAUGCUGAAGAUGAUGAUAUUCAUUGGCCACCUGAUGCGAAGAGCUAACUCAUUGGGAAAGACCCUGAUGCUGGGAAAGAUUGAAGGCGGGAGGAGAAGGGGACAACAGAGGAUGAGAUGGUUGGAUGGCAUCACCGACUCAAUGGACAUGAAUCUGAGCAAACUCCCAGAGACAGUGAAGGACAGGGGGGCCUGGCGUGCUGCAGUCCGUGGGGUCGCAAAGAGUUGGACAGGAUUUAGUGAUUGUACAAGAACAACAACAAGCAGACUAAGAGGCUCAGGGACCAAACAACCUGAGUAUGUCUGGUGAUUUAAUCAAAGAGAGCGAAAGAAAAGUGUCCAUGUUUCUGCCUCAGCUGUCAGCACAAAUGAACACCAUGAUGGUUUCCUGCUGGUUCGGACCCCUCCUUACCUUCUGAGUGAUCCUCCUUUUUUCCCUCCCUGUGCAAAGAGCCCUCCCAAAACUGCCUUUAAAGUCUCUUCCUGGUUCCCCUCUCCUCCUCCGUCCGUCCACCAACGGCCUCUCCACCCAGCCGCAGGGCAGGCCUUCAUCUCCAGUUGAAAGUCACACCCCGGUCUCCAAGCGGCCCCCUCCGUCCCUGCCUCAGUCUCCUUUCACCUCUGCCCCUGGCUCCAGCUGGGAUGAAUCAUCUCAAGGAGCAGUCAGGAGAAGCAGGCUCAGCCAGGCACAGGAGGACCCAGCUAGCUAUCACCCAGCUAGCUAUCGAGUCCCUGCGGAGGCAGCAGCCCCGGGUCAGGGAGGCUCCCGGAAGAUUUAUUGGCCACUAAACCCAGCUGGAGGGGGUGGAAUAAGUAGGCAGGGUAUAAUCAAAGUGAUACUUUAUGUUGUUCCAUCUCAGGAAAAUAAUUGUUCCACUGGAACAUCAUUACACUAUCAUUUUUCUACUCUUGCACCACUUACUGGGAAAUAGAAAGUCACUUUCUUCUUCAUAAUAAGGAGCAAUUUCAAUAACUCAAAAGGCUUUUUCUGAGAUGGAGCCAUUCUCCAUCCUUCGGCAAAGGACAGUCCCCCGCCCUGGACUCCCAGUCUAGAGCAAGGGUCUCGGGAGCUCCUGGGGGCAGCUGUCCCCGCCUCACAAUGCCCUCCUGCCCACCACUCGGGGGACCAUCUAGCCCAGUUUCCCAGGAUUAAAAGGUUUUCCAAGAUCCUGGACUUUCAGCACCAACGUCAGGUCAUAAAAAUAAAAUAGGGAAGGAAGAUUGGCAAUAAGGGGUAGAGUGGUGUACUUCUAAGGAGGUUGAUUGGGGUAGGCUUCAUUAAGAAGGUGGCAUCUGAGCACAAAUUUAAAGGCAGUGAGGCAGGUUUAUGAGGAUAUUUGAGGGAAGGGCAUUCCAGACAGAAGGAUCAGUCAGGGCAAAGUUCAGAGGCAGAGCUUGGCAUGUGUAUUCAAAAAAUCCCAUGGAGGCCCUUGGGGCUGGAGCAGUGCGAACAAAAGGAAAAGGGAAAGAGAGAGAAAUGGCAAGCAUGAUCAGAGGCCAGAUUUUGCAGGAUUCUACAGACUUUGAUGAGACCGUUGGCUUGUACCCAGAGGAGAUGGACAAAAGGACACGAUUCAGUUUAUGUUCUCAUGGACUGGCUCUGACUGCUGUGGAAGACCAUGGAAGACCAGUUAGGAGACUGGAGCAAUAACACAAUUAAGUAAUGACUGCCUUAGACCAAGAUGGUAAUUAGCGGACCUGGGGAACAGCAGCUGGAUCCUGGGUAUAUUCUGAAGGUGAAGCUGAUAGAUUUUCCUGAUGGAGAUUGGGUGUGAGCUGUUAAGAGCAAAGAAGAACAGCGUGACUUCCAAUAUUUAAAUGCACAGAGCCCAUCACUAGAUCGUAGAAUAAAUAAUGCAUGUAUUUCAAAGGCUCACUCUACCCCAGAAAAACAUGCACUUGAGAUAUUGAUGGAUUUAAGUUAGAAACUAAACCGCACUUCCAAAUAGAAUCAUUUAGACUCUGGAGUAUGGUCUUUAAUGCAGAAUAGCUUUGCAUUCAUCCCUAGGGCUGGGGCUGAAUAACAGGACCACCUACCCAAGGUCAGCUCUCUAGCCUGGUGGCUGACUCCGUGCAGUCCAGCUGUUAAGAGAUUGGAUCUGCAUUUAAACUGUCUGAGGUUCCAUUUUUUUCAUCUAAUGAUUGUCGUGAGAAUUGAAUAAUAUUAUGUUCAUGAAAUACAUACACAGGGCCUAGACCCUGGGGGAUGCUUCAUUACCGGUAGAGAUGUUGUGCGUGCUAAGUCACUUCAGUUAUCUCUGACUCUUGGCGACCCUGUGGACUGCAGCCCGCCAGACCCCUCUGCCCAUAGGUUUCUCCAGGCAAGAAUACUGGAAUGGGUUGCCAUGCCCUCCUCCAGGGGACCUUCCUGACCCAGGGAUCAAACCCACAUCUCUUGCGUCUCCUGCACUGGCAGGUAGGUUCUUUACCACUAAUGCCACCUGGGAAGCCCCAAGAGAUGUUGAAGGCUCUUUGAACGGCGUUGAAAUUCUGACAGUGACCAGCAGAGGGCACCACCA